AUGAUGUGAUAGGAGAGAGAAGGAAGAAUUGUACGAUUGCAGUUUCCUUCUACUAGGCAGGCUGCCUGGAGGAGGAGAUUGAGAAUGCAAUCUUGGAGGUUGCAGGUAUAAAGGGCAAUGAACAGGAUGAAAAAUGUUUCUGGAGUUAAGCUGGUGAUCUUGCAGCUCCAGAAUGGACAGAAAACAUGGGAAAUAUGUUGUGAAUAUUGAACCCUCUGGAAACCAGCCGCCAUUUCUGAACCCAAGAAACCAUGAAGCUCGUAGUUCAGCAUGUUGGUUUCCAACAUCAACUGAUGCAACUGGUGAUGUUGGUGUGAAUUUAACUGGUGUCUGCACAAACACAGGG
rnacentral:lncRNA from 1 species